GUGACCGGAUUCUUGAGCGGAUUCGUAGAAAUCUUGAGCGGACAAGUUUAAAUCGCAGGAUACCUUCUUUGGGUUCUACCUUCAUCGCUCAAUCACAACCUAAAUCGAUCAUCUCGUGACCGGAUAAUUGAUCGGAUUUUUAAUCGCACAAAUCAAAAGGAGGAGAUUAAGGUGUAGACAUAGUGCCUUUUUUCUAUUGAAAUUGUGAAGUUCACUUAGCUUGUAUCACUACAGACUUCUCUUGACUGUAUUACAGGCUUGAACUUAAGCAGACUGUAUAAUCCAAUCACCAGUCUGUCCGUAUUGACUGAAUUCUGUUGUGGUCAUGUUGAUUGUUAAUUGAACCUUCUGUGUUUGUUCGUUAUUGCACACACCAUACAAAGAUUUGUUGCUUGGUGUAAGAAGUUGUUGCUGUCAUUUGUGCACUGGAACAGCAGCCCGAGUAGGAAAGAAACAGACCGAUUCCACUGAGGAAUUUAAUACUGCAGCCAAUGCAAACGAGGAAAAAGACUUCAUUAACUAGCCUGGAAUUUCACUCAAGACAGUCAAUUUUAUUGCUUGGCAUUUUUCACAGGUACAUCAAAUGUCACUUUGGAAGGUUUUAAGGCAUAGCAAGGCUUGGGCUUGGAUAGAGAAAUAAGUUGCUGUAUUGGCUUUGCUUGCAGCUAUUGAACUAGUGCAGAUUUGAAGUUAUUGAACUGUUUUGUUUCAUCUUGACAGCUUCUAUUAGCUACACAAAUUAGCGCACAUAAUCUGUUUACAAGCUUCUUCAUUUUCAAGUUUGUUAUCAUUCAGGACGAAGCACAAUCAGAAACUGCUAGAGGAAGUCGCACAGAUACCUAUUGGUUGUGAAUCAAGAAUUGUAACAGCUCUUACACGCUACCAUUUGAAUUGACCAAGAAUUUCAUUUGGUGUAAUCAUAUUAAGGAACUUUGUUACGGUUUUGAAUUAGUU